CGCGGGAUUGGGGUGCAGCAGGCGCGAAAACUCCGCAAUACACGAAAGUGUGACGGGGCUAUCCCGAGUGCCAUCCGCUGAGGGUGGCUUUUCCCCAGUGUAUAAAGCUGGGGGAAUAAGGAGAGGGCAAGCCUGGUGUCAGCCGCCGCGGUAAUACCAGCUCUCCGAGUGGUGGGGAUGCUUAUUGGGCCUAAAGCAUUCGUAGCCUGCUUGGCAAGUCCUCCGUUAAAUCCAACGAUUCAAUCGUUGGGCUGCGGGGGAUACUGUCCGGCUAGGGGGCGGGAGAGGCCGACGGUAUCCUCGGGGUAGGGGUGAAAUCCUAUAAUCCCGGGAGGACCACCAGUGGCGAAGGCUGUCGGCUAGAACGCGCUCGACGGUGAGGGAUGAAAGCUGGGGGAGCGAACCGGAUUAGAUACCCGGGUAGUCCCAGCUGUAAACGAUGCAGGCUAGGUGUUGGCGCGGCUACGUGCCGCUCCAGUGCCGCAGGGAAGCCGUUAAGCCUGCCGCCUGGGAAGUACGGCCGCAAGGCUGAAACUAAAGGGAAUUGCGGGGGAGCACCACAAGGUGUGAAGCUGCGGGUUUAAUUGGAGUCAACGCCGGAAAUCUCACCGGGGGCGACAGCAGAAUGAAGGUCAGAUUGAAGGUCUUACCAGACAAGCUGAGAGGAGGUGCAUGGCCGUCGCCAGUUCGUGCCGUGAGGUGUCCUGUUAAGUCAGGCAACGAUCGAGACCCGCGUCCCCUGUUGCCACCGGCCUUGAGCCGAGCACACUGGGGAGACUGCCGCCGAUAAGGCAGAGGAAGGAGCGGGCCACGGCAGGUCAGUAUGCCCCGAAUCCCCCGGGCUACACGCGAGCUGCAAUGGCAGGUACAGAGGGUACCGACUCUGAAAGGAGAAGGAAAUCCCGAAAGCCUGCCGUAGUUGGGAUCGAGGGUUGAAACUCACCCUCGUGAACAUGGAAUACCUAGUAACCGCGUGUCACUACCGCGCGGUGAAUACGUCCCUGCUCCUUGCACGAAUUCGCCGAAUCACUAGU
rnacentral:rRNA from 1 species